rnacentral:rRNA from 1 species
UACGGAGGGGGCUAGCGUUGUUCGGAAUUACUGGGCGUAAAGGGCGCGCAGGCGGCUGCUCAAGUCAGGCGUGAAAGGCCUGGGCUCAACCCGGGAAUUGCGCUUGAGACUGGGCUGGCUUGAGUGCGGGAGAGGAUGGUGGAAUUCCUGGUGUAGCGGUGAAAUGCGUAGAUAUCAGGAGGAACACCAGCGGUGUAGACGGCUUUCUGGACCAUUGCUGACGCUGAGACACGAAAGCGUGGGUAGCAAACAGG